CGCCCCCGACUAGCCAGCAAG
rnacentral:misc_RNA from 1 species